rnacentral:rRNA from 1 species
UACGUAGGGUGCAAGCGUUGUCCGGAAUUAUUGGGCGUAAAGAGCUCGUAGGCGGUCUGUUGCGUCGGCUGUGAAAACCCGGGGCUCAACCCCGGGCCUGCAGCCGAUACGGGCAGACUAGAGUUCGGCAGGGGAGACUGGAAUUCCUGGUGUAGCGGUGAAAUGCGCAGAUAUCGGGAGGAACACCGGUGGCGAAGGCGGUUCUCUGGGCCUGUACUGACGCUGAGGAGCGAAAGCGUGGGGAGCGAACAGG